AUUUACCUAAGCCCAAAUCAUGCUUCAUGCAUCAGACUUUGUCUAAUCUUGGAAGCUAAGCAGACUGAGCCUGGUUACUACUUGGAUGGGAGACUGCCAUGGAAUACCAAGUUUUGUAAAUU
rnacentral:rRNA from 1 species